rnacentral:rRNA from 1 species
UACGGAGGGUGCGAGCGUUGUCCGGAAUCAUUGGGCGUAAAGAGCGUGUAGGCGGUUCGGUAAGUCGGCUGUGAAAUCCCCGGGCUCAACCUGGGACCUGCAUUUGUGACUGCAUCGCUAGAGUACGGUAGAGGGGGAUGGAAUUCCGCGUGUAGCAGUGAAAUGCGUAGAUAUGCGGAGGAACACCGAUGGCGAAGGCAAUCCCCUGGACCUGUACUGACGCUCAUGCACGAAAGCGUGGGGAGCAAACAGGG